rnacentral:rRNA from 1 species
UGGGGAAUAUUGGACAAUGGGCGCAAGCCUGAUCCAGCCAUGCCGCGUGAGUGAUGAAGGCCCUAGGGUUGUAAAGCUCUUUCACCGGUGAAGAUAAUGACGGUAACCGGAGAAGAAGCCCCGGCUAACUUCGUGCCAGCAGCCGCGGUAAUACGAAGGGGGCUAGCGUUGUUCGGAUUUACUGGGCGUAAAGCGCACGUAGGCGGACUUUUAAGUCAGGGGUGAAAUCCCGGGGCUCAACCCCGGAACUGCCUUUGAUACUGGAAGUCUUGAGCAUGGUAGAGGUGAGUGGAAUUCCGAGUGUAGAGGUGAAAUUCGUAGAUAUUCGGAGGAACACCAGUGGCGAAGGCGGCUCACUGGACCAUUACUGACGCUGAGGUGCGAAAGCGUGGGGAGCAAACAGG